rnacentral:rRNA from 1 species
GACGAACGCUGGCGGCGCGCUUAACACAUGCAAGUCGAACGGAAAGGCCUGCUUUCCCUUGUGGAUUGCGGGUACUCGAGUGGCGAACGGGUGAGUAACACGUGAGUGAUCUGCCCCCAACUUGGGUAUAAGCCUGGGAAACUGGGUCUAAUUCCCGAUAGGACUGCAGGGUGGUGCCUGUGGUGGAAAACGAUUUUCUAGUGGUUGGGGAUGAGCUCGCGGCCUAUCAGCUUGUUGGUGGGGUAAUGGCCUACCAAGGCGGCGACGGGUAGCCGGCCUGGGAGGGUGGACGGCCACAUUGGGACUGGGAUACGGCCCAGACUCCUACGGGAGGCAGCAGUGGGGAAUAUGGCACAAUGGGCGGAAGCCUGAUGCAGCGACGCCGCGUGGGGGAUGACGGCCUUCGGGUUGUAAACUCCUUUCGAGCGCGAGGAAGCCACCUGGUUGGAAGGGUGGUGACGGUAGUGGUAGAAGAAGCACCGGCUAACUACGUG